GGCUUUGUGGCCGAUGUAGAAACAUAUAAUAAGUUCAGGCAAUCACCGGAGCCUCUCCGGUUUACUAAAUACUACUCCCUCCCUCCGUUCACCAUUAUAGGAUGUUCUAACUUUUUUCUGAAACAGAUGUAUAUAGCCGUAUUUUAGUGUAUUUGUUCACUCAUUUCAGUCCAUAUGUAGUCCAUAUUGAAAUAUAAAAAAUAUCUUAAUAGUGAACGGAGGGAGUAGAAGAUAAGGUUUAGAAGUGCUCCUCUACUGAGUAUGAACGAAGUAAAUUAUGGAACUCGCGGCGGAUCUUCCUCAAGUAUGUACAGAUAUAAAUAAAAGAUUGACGUGGGA
rnacentral:rRNA from 1 species